GAUUCAGCGGCGGACGGGUGAGUAACACCUGGGAAUCUGCCUGGUAGUGGGGGAUAACGUCCGGAAACGGGCGCUAAUACCGCGUACGUCCUACGGGAGAAAGCAGGGGAUCUUCGGACCUUGCGCUAUCAGAUGAGCCCAGGUCGGAUUAGCUAGUAGGUGAGGUAAUGGCUCACCUAGGCGACGAUCCGUAACUGGUCUGAGAGGAUGAUCAGUCACACUGGAACUGAGACACGGUCCAGACUCCUACGGGAGGCAGCAGUGGGGAAUAUUGGACAAUGGGGGCAACCCUGAUCCAGCCAUGCCGCGUGUGUGAAGAAGGUCUUCGGAUUGUAAAGCACUUUAAGUUGGGAGGAAGGGCUUUAGGUUAAUACCCUGAAGUUUUGACGUUACCAACAGAAUAAGCACCGGCUAACUCUGUGCCAGCAGCCGCGGUAAUACAGAGGGUGCAAGCGUUAAUCGGAAUUACUGGGCGUAAAGCGCGCGUA
rnacentral:rRNA from 1 species